CGGCUGCAUCACGUCGAAAUACAGGUUCCCCUACGAACACCGAAUUUAAGCAAUGUUCAGCCUGGUCAGUACUAGAUGGGUGACAGCUUGGAAAUACCAAGUGCUGUA